ensembl:lncRNA
AUGUGCCAAGAUGGCGGCGGCGGCCGGUGCCGGGGCCGUGAGGGGCGGCGGGGGCUGCUGAGGGGCCUCGGCCGGCGGGGGCUGCCAGGUACCGCGGGGCGCGCCCGGAGGGAGGGCCGCGGGUCCCGAGUGGGCUGCGUGAGGAGCGCCGGGCCUAAGCAGCAGCGCUGGUCCCAGGUCAGGGCUGUUUUUCCGAGCUGUCAGGUGCCACAGGUCUGUGCAACUGGUGCUGACUCAGGAGUGCGGCUGCCUGAAAGCGUCGGGAGCUGCUGGGGUAAAGAACUGGUAGUCGGGCUCCUUUCAAAAUAAACGGGAGUGCUCUGUGCUGCUUCUGUGCUUUUGAUUCUCAAAGAGCUGUUUUCAUGGAGUCACAGACUGGUUUGGGUUGGAAAGGACCUUCAAGAUCAUCUCAUUCCACUGUCCCAGGUUGCUCCAAGCCCUGUCCAGCCUGGCCUUGGACACUGCCAGGGAUCCAGGGGCAGCCACAGCUUCUCUGGGUACCCUGUGCCAGGGCCUGCCCACCCUCACAGGGAAGGAUUUCUUCCUGAGCUCAUUAAACCUGCCCUAUGCCAGUUUAAAGCUGUUCCCCCUUGUCCUGUUGGCUACGUUUUAACAGAAUAACAUUUGUAACUCUGGUUGCUGCUUAGGAAAAGCCCGGUAGGAAUCUGUCAGGAGCAUGAAUGAUGCAGAACGUGUUCAAUCUGUCACCCACAUGUGUGCAGAUGCGCAGCUGUCUGCGUAAGAUAAAAUUGAAAAAGUAGUUGCUGAUUUUAAAGCUGCAAAUCUCUUUUUCCAGCUGUUCCUGUAUUUGAGAUUGCAGUGGGGUUUUGUCACUUUGUUCUCAUUAGGAAUCUGUGUAUGUGAACAUGUUAUUUAUCAUUUGGUUCGUGUGUGAGGAUGAGAGUUAAUAUUAGUCCUCUGUAACCUGCUUUGGGGGCAUAGUUAUUCUGUUUAAGAGUAAUUUAUUUAGAUAGGAUUAAAUUAAGUCCCAUCAAAGAAAUUAUUUCUUUAUAGAUGAAGCUAUAGAGCUCAUUAGGUGAAAUUAUUUUUAUGGCCUUGUCUAGGGCAUUUUAAUCUUUUUUUCCUCGUUGGCAUUGUUUUCUUGGUAUGCCUGGAAACACCUUCUGCAAUUGUUACUCCUGGUGACUCAUGUUUAGCAGGCUGCUCUGCUUUAUUAAUUAAAAAACCGGCUGAAAUAAGAAUUUCCAAACUAGAUAAAACAGAGAUGGAUUGCUCUUAACUUGUGUAGUUAUUUCUAAAUUCCUUAAAAUCAGCAUUUCCGUUAAUCCUGGAUGAGGCACAAGAGAGGGUCAGUAGCACUGAGUUAUCUUCUGUUUAAAUUACCUGACAUGGGCACGUUCAUUUUAUUUGGACUCAGUUCCUCAAAUCUUGCUUGCUUUUACUACUGUGUGCAGUCUGUUAAUAUUAACUUUGCUUCUGAGGAAGCUGAUCCCUUGUGUUGAACCUCUGUUAUGCACCAUCAAAGAUCCUGUUAGAGGAAUGGCAGGUUCUGCCUUAAAGUAGGACUUUACACUUAUUUUAAUUAGCUAAUUACUGGUACUGGCUGUUACAAAAAUAUGGCAAAGUAUUAGGAUUUUUUUAAUGAGACACUGCAAGGAGUAAAGCCCACAUUAGACAUUUGGAAGUGGGUAUUUAAGUUGGCUUUUGUGCUCAGCUGUAUUUCAGAAACAACUUUUCCAUGAAAAACAGAACUAUUUAGUAGAUACCAAUAUUUUGUUCAGUGAAGUUUGUGCUUUCCAGGACAUAACUGCCUUGGCAGAUGGUUUCAUUAGCUUUUUUCCUCCCCAGUCCAAAGUACGUUGCAUAAACCCAGGAGUUUGUUUGGAGGGGAGAGAGGAGUUUUUAAAGUCUGCUUAAUACAACAAAGAACACAAUGAAAAAGGAAUGGGGAUGCCCAGAACAGCCAGAGGUUCCUUAAGCACGUGGAAAUUGGGAUGGGUGUUUAGGCAGAGUUUCCUGGAAACAUGGUUGGCAGCAAGGUUGGUAAGCAUGGCCAGCUGGAAAACCUUCACCUCAGGAUUGUAACAGGCGAAAAGAUUGCAAAGUCCUAAAACCUUUUUGUAAGCAUUCCUUGAUGGAAUUCAGCAGCUGUGCUUUAAAAAGAAUGGUGAAGGCACUUGCAAGUACUGCAUGAAACUGAUGGAGCUCUAAUGCUUCUGUUGAAAUCUGUUUUGUGUUGUCCUUCCCAUCUUAAUAAAACACAGGUUUAUGGAGUCUUAACUGAAGAUGUGGCUAUGGAGUAUAUGGAUAUAGGGAAGAAAUUGAGAGUCUGUAUUGACUCUGAAAGAGGGACCUGGGUUAUACACAGGGCUGUUGGAGAGAGUUUUCCUUAGGAGAAGUUGUACUGAUGUCCAGUAAAGUCUGUGUGUUGUGGUACUGUCAGUGUGCUUUUUACUGGAAUUUUUAGGUAUAAAUAUUUAUGAAAUACAUGUAGUAUUUUUGAUAACUAGAAACUAGAAGUUUGUCCUGAUUACAAACAUCUGACUUUUCUGGCUUCCCAUUUUAUUACUCGUGCUGAUAAGAUGCUGAAUCUUAGAAGAACUCCAAAUAAGAAUUGUACAGCUUUUUUCUUUCAUAAAAAGAAGUGCAUCUGGUAUGGAACCAUUGCUGUGGUUACUUCACUCUGCAUAUUAUAAAGAAUAUUUGUUGUGUACUAUGAGAAAACAGGAUUAUCACAUAUUGCUAAGGCUUCACUGGGCUCCACUGGACAAGUAUUGAUGAAUUCCUCUGGUUUUGUCAGCCUCCAUCCUCCCCAGAUUGUUAAGUGGUGAUAAAAUUGAAAAAGACACCCUGAUGAAUUUAUUGAACUUCCUGUGUACCAGAUUCCUCACUGGUAUUGUUUGGAGUUGGAGUUGGAUUACUUCCGAGCGUGUCCUUUCCACCCUGAAACGCAGCUGUAACCCUGAUACUGUGCCAAAGUCCCGCCGGUGUUAAAGUGAGAAUGGUCAUUGAUAGGUGGGGGUAGCUGAUUGUUUUUCUAUCCUUAAAUUGAGUUUUGCAGUGCAGCAUUCAUCUAGAAGAGACGAUAUUUGUGACGAAGAUCCAAUUGUCUUUCUCAAAAUAAAUAACAAUACUGUACCACACAGUGUUUUCUUAGUUAAACCAAAAGUGGACUGUUGAGGGUGAUAACAUCUGAUGAAUUCCUUCUUGGGAUGCUUCUCAUUUUACCUGUGAAAAGGUCCAUUCACAUGGAGUGCCAGUGCAUCAGGGCUGAAAAUCAUCUCUAACAGAAUUAGAGUUAGAUAAUGACUUCUCAACUCUUCGUAAUUAAACUGAGCAGGACAUGUUGCUGCAGGCUCUGUUCUAGGCUGGUUGCUGUCCUCUCCGUGAUGCAUAUUUCUAGGAAAUGUAACAGUGGGAUACCAUUGGAGGCUUUGACGCUAGUACAGGUCUGAACUGUGUUUAAUUAGUCUUACUUGGAUAUAUUUGUUAGUAGAAUUGUUAAAUAAUGUGCAUCAAUGCCACACAGCCUUACACUUCAUUAAUGCCGGACUUGGAUUUAGAAAUUUAAUGGAGUGUGUCAGUUUCUUACGUGUUCUGAGGAGAAGGGAGAUACUUUCCACUUCAAAUUGUUCGACUGAUUUUGUUUCUAAAAUAAAAGUUGCUUAAGUGCUGCAUAUAUGAUGAGAAAGGGAACUGACUUGUACCUGUGUUGUCUCAGCAGGGCAGAAGACGACAUCUCUCUACUGCCUCCAGGGCCGAUUUAUCACCGUGU